ensembl:lncRNA novel transcript
ACAGGAACUGGCUGCAGCUGCCACUGUCGCCUUGUCAUCCUUGACUUCUCACAUGAUUAAAUUUUAAUUCAAGUCUAUGAAGCGUAAACUUGGUUCAAAUAGCGAGUCUGUGCUGCCACCUGCUGGAAAAUGUGAGAAAAUUGUCUGUUUUAAUGGAAUAGCAGUGAUGUAUGCUGCAUUAAAUAAGAAAACUCAGGAAGAUCCAGACACACGCAGAGGUAAGACCAUUUAAAGAUGGAAAGAAGAUUACUGUCUACAAGACAAGGAAAGAGGCCGUAGAAGAAACCAACCAGGCCAAAACUUUCAUCUCAGACUUCUAGCCUUCAGAACUACUUGCAUCACAAGAAGAAAAGAAGAAAAAAGAGAUGUAACUAUGGGAAAUACUGGAUAUGUUAAUUCACUUGACCUGUAGUAAUCACUUCAUUAUAUAUGUAUACCAAAACAUCUUGCAGUACAACUUAAACAUACAGAAUUUUUUAAAAGACUGCAUCUUCAUGCUUGCUUAAGGACAUAAAUUUUCAGAGAGCACUGUGAGAAAAUAAUCAUGUUCAUGGUGAUGUCUAAUCAUCGCCCAAUGGUGCUCAGUGGCAUUAUAGGAGCUAUGAGUAAUACAAAAAUCAGAAGUAUUCCAAUCACAUUGCAUUUGAAUUCUAUGCUCCAAAUUCAUAAUCCAAUCUCCCAUCCAAAUUACUGUUUGACAGAGAUCAUUAAUUUGAUUUGCCAAUUUUUGAUCUAUUUGGCUUUGGGAAUUCCAAAGCUUAGAAGAAUUUUUCUGCCAACUAUCCACAAAGCCUGCAGUUUGAAUAGAAGAGUGCAAAGCAACAGCAGCAGCAGCAGUAGCUGUAACAGCUAUAAGGCCCAGGAUCACAGCUAUUAAAGUCGGUGGAGUUGCUUGGCGAGCUUUACAGUUUCCAUCUGCUCAACAGAGACGUUCUUCUGAGCCAUCUGACGAACUGGGGGUGCAGGGAUGUUCCGAGGUCUUUUCCUCUUCCUUGGAUUCUGGCUCAUGGCACAGCUUAAGAUGUCUUGUGGGUACCCAGACAGGAAGCUGAUUCUCUCCUGGCCUUUUCCAGGAAUAUAGCCCAUGUUUGACAUUAUUUUUUGAUGAGCUUCACCAUACCAGGGAGAAGGGAUUGAAAUUUCUGUGCCCCAUUGCUGAAGCAGAUCUCUCCCCCAUAAGUUAACAAGAAUCAGUAUAUUUCAAAAAGAAGAGGGAGGUGAAAUGUAAAAGGAAAAUAGAAAUGUGGGACCCCAAUUCAAGAUGCCAAAAGGAAAAAUUAAGCUGAAACUGAGUCAUGCAAGAAGCUGCCUUUCUUUUGGUUCCUAAGCAGAUAGGUACAGAUAAAAGGUUGAAUAUCUUCA